rnacentral:lncRNA from 1 species
AAUCCCAGAAACACCGGGCCUUGCGGUCCAGGCCCCUUCUCCGCUCCCAGGUCAAGGAUGGCUGCAAAGUCGUCUACGUCAAUGGGAAGCGCUGGGUCCGCACCCGGCCCCUCCUCACCGCUCCUCCCAACUGGGACUAUGCCCGUAUCCAGAGAGAGAUGGUCCCUGAGGCCUGGAGGCACUUUCCCAACAGGCCACCGCUCCUGAGCAUCACUGGGCCGGACUUUUCUGAGGCUCACCUGGCCUACAUGAAGCAGUGGCUUUGGAAGGCCCGGCACCCCCCAGCCCGUCCGCAGCCUGGUGA